rnacentral:rRNA from 1 species
AUGAUUCCUCUAGAAUUACGACCUUUACCACAACGGUGUCGUCCAUAGAUCAAAUUAUUUCAUGGAUUGGAUUUCACUUGCCUGUCUACAUUUCCCUUAUGUGUGCUCGGAGGUGUUUUGCAUAAAUGUUUCGCCGUAUUAUUAAGUAUUCUCCUUUAG